GGGGAACAGUGGAGGUUUGAGAACUGCUUUGGGGCCCCAGCCAUAGAGCAGGACUCCACUAUGCUAGAUGCUGUACAAAGACAGAACAAAGAGAUGGUCCCUGCCCUGAUAAGGUUGCAAUCCAAGUAUAAGAACACACAAAAGCCCUCUCUUUACUGGGAAAGCACCAUCUUAAAAGAGGCUCCAGGAACAGCCAAUGACUCAGGAUUUCUUGGUAGCACAACUCUUAUGGAGCCAUGCUGUCAGGGAAUCUGACUGGAGACACAGGAUCUCUACACAAAAAGCCAUGGCCUGCUAUGGAUUCCAGACAUCAAUGUCAAUCCCUGGCUUCUGGGGACAAAACUACUGGCCAUUCUACAACAUUGGUGUGUAAUAUAUCUGUUCCCAGAACAGAAUGAUCCUGCACAAGGGAAUCCUGAUGGAGUUUUUCAUUUCUAGGCCUUCUCCUGCAGCUCUUUCCAUGGGAGGAGGGCCAAUGCCAUUUUACUAAUUUUUCCUGAAUGGAUGGGAAGCCCAAAGGUGACAACAUCAGCUGAUUAAUACAUCAUGUGAUUUUUUUCAACCCUACUUUAUUUAAUAAGGAUAUAUUUAAGAGGAUGAAAGCUAUUCUUAUAAUUAUAAACAAAAAGCUGUUAAAAGAAUGUUAAGGAUGAAAAUGUUAAUGAUGAAAAGUUAAAAUUGGACAGUGCCAGAAUUACAGUAGCCUCUGAAACCUACAUUUCAUCCCCUUGUGUGUACAUAUUGAUAGCCUUGCCCAGCAUCUCCUCGGAGUCUGUGAGAGAGCCACGAAUAGAACCCAACUCCUAUAGGUCCAAGUCCAGUGCCUUACACACAAGAGAACAUUCUCUUUUUCCUUGGAACCCACUACUUCAUUCACUGUGCAAUGAAUGAGGCACUACUCUGGGAGAACAAAUAGUAUGUGAUCAUUUAAUUAGACUGCAUCAUGAUGCUAUGUAUUUGGGGGGCCACACUACCUAUGGGCAGUCAACUUUAAUUGUGAUAUUUCCUAACUGUUGAAGGAUUAAGUUUGCAACUAACAUUCUAUUAACAGUUUUUUGUAUGUAGUUUCUUAAGUUUUUUAAAAAGCAAAUUGAAAAAACAAAGUGCAUCAUGACGCACCACAGUGAUUUCUGCAUGAGUCAGCAGCAGAGUCUGAACUCAGAACCUUUUGACCCACAAAACAGCUAAAAGGGAAACUCAUGGUACCAGUAGGUUCUCGUCUUCUAUGUAGAUUCGCCACUAUAUGGAGCCAAAACACACUUUGCUAGUGACUUGUGCAUGUCUAUUUGUGAGACUGGAGAAGAAUGUUCAGUCUCAAGCUUCCUAAAUUCUGUUACUGGCUCUGGAUUGUGGUCUACUGGCUCAACUGUAGAACUAAGUAUGUAGAUUUGUAAACUUUGUUCUGAAAGGCACAAUACCUAAGUGGAUGAGACUUGGGUCUGCCAUAUUAGAGACCUAUGUUCUAUUCCCAGCUGUCCCUGAAGUCACUUUGUGCAACCUUUCAGUUACUUCAAAUGGGGAGGGAGAAUAAUAGUUGCCCAUCCCUUAAGGUGUAUGAGGCCUUGUUUAAUAAUAAGGGCUGUUAAGAAUACAUUAUAAACAUCAGAAAGUGGAAGCAGAACUCAUGCUCUCCUGGCUUUCAUCCUAGCACUCCUUUGUAUAGGGUAAGGGAUAUUUUUCAGUUGGUGCUUUGCUUGGGUAUCCAUUUAGCGCCCCAAAGAGAGCUGUGAGUCACAGAGCGUGCUCAGACUGUUGGAUUUUUCAGAUAUUUUAACAGGAAGCCUCUAACUUGCUCUGCUGAGAAUGUGCGAAAGGUGAUGCUCAGAGGCCUAUAAUUUGGCCACAUCUGGGUGAAUUUUCAACAGGUCAACAAAAGACACUUCUUUGAUCCCACAACUAUCCCCUGCCAAAUUUUGAGUUCCUGCUCUAAAGCACCAAGGAGCUUUAAAUAAAUGGUUGGAAAUUUAAUAUUAAAAAA